UGCUUGGACAGAGAGGUCUCCCCAACAUCACGAGGCAGCAAACUGAAAGCAAGAACGUGGCGAAGUGCAAACAAAUCCAGUCCACAAAAGGCAGAAAACAACAUUUGCCAAGCCCAGGAAACAGAUAAAAAACCCCACCAGCCCGAGGGGCUUUUCCUACCUCGGAAUCGGAGGAGCUGUUUUGAUUCGUUUCUGAUUCAUUGACUAGAGACGAUUUGACAUCAGCUAAAUCCCUCUCUGCCGAGGAGUUUUCGGAGCUCUUCUCCUCCUGUUCGCCCUCGUCUUUGAAGGAAAUCAGUUCGUCGUUGGCGCCUAGGUCAUCCCCUCCACCGCCGUUCAGCUGCGGCAUUUUUUUUUCACCCACCAGCAGCAAUUUUGGAAGAAAAAUGAAGGAGGAAGAAAAGCCAAAAAAAAUCACCCCCAAAAAGUUUUGCCCCCCCAAAAAAUAUUGCAAGAAAAA
ensembl:lncRNA novel transcript